CGUUAAAUUACCUGUUCCCGUACAAAUACCGAAGUUAAGCAACGUCGAGCCUGGUCAGUAUCUAUAUGGGCGACCGCCUGGGAAUACCAAAUUCUG